rnacentral:rRNA from 1 species
UACGAAGGGUGCUAGCGUUGUUCGGAAUUACUGGGCGUAAAGGGUGCGUAGGUUGUUUGGCAAGUUAGUGGUGAAAGCCCAGAGCUUAACUCUGGAAUUGCCAUUAAAACUGCCAGGCUAGAGAGUGUUAGAGGUGAGUGGAAUUUCUAGUGUAGGAGUGAAAUCCGUAGAUAUUAGAAGGAACAUCAAUGGCGAAGGCAGCUCACUGGGUCACAUCUGACACUGAGGCACGAAAGCGUGGGUAGCAAACAGG